GGGAGGGAGAGGAGGGGCGGCCCAGCAUGGCCCCGGGUCCGGCCUUACAGUUAUGUCUUUGGUUAGAAAGGAACAGAGACAUAUUUAGUCUCAAGUAAUGGGAGCUUAUUUGGCCAGAAAUGGAGGUGGACUCUAAUGAUAAGAAGUCAGGCCUCAUAAGAAGAGCAAAUGGACCCACGGUGUCCAUAGAGUGAUUCAUUCUUUUUAUAUUAUACAAAAUAAUCAGCACAGUAAAGUCUGGUUUCUAUCUGGCCUGGUUUCUAAAUGACAAGAUACCUCUAAUUUUGGAAUCAGUGGAUUACCUGUGUUCUUCAAAUAUUGGUCAGAAACAAAUCUUUCAUAAGAGUACACAUUUUACACAGUAUUGAGACAGAGGCCCAAUGAAAUAUUUACCAUGCUCUGGAGGCUGGAAGCUCAGGCGCAAGAUGCCAGUAGGAAAGAACUGUCCCCUUGGGUCGCAGAUGGUAACCUUCUCUCUGUCCUCACGGAGGUCUCUCCUUGGUCCCUGACUGCCUGUGCACAGAAGGUGCGGGGGAUGGAGAGAGAAAGAGUGAGCUUUCUGGUGUUUCUUCUCAUGAGGAACUGAUCCUGCUGGAUCUGAGCCCCACCCUUACAACCUCAUUUAAUCUUAAUUGCUUUCUUAGAGACCCCGUCUCCAAAUACAGCCACACUGGGGUUUAGGUCUUUCAGAUAUGAUUUUUUUAGGACACAUUCAGCUCAUUGCAUGUGUUGUAUACCUAUGUAUAUGUAAUUGAUGUUAUCUAAAGUAAUUAUAGUAUGUAAUAUAUAUAGUAUUCAAUACCAUCCUUUAACCAUUAACAUCAUAUGAUUUUUCUUAUGCCAUUAAAAUUCUUGGAAAAACUUCCUAUCAUGCUAAAUAGAAGUCCCAUAACAUUUUCACUAUACCUCUGUUGCUGAGUUUUAAAGUUAAUUCAAAUAUUCCAUUAAUAUAAAUAACACUUUAUACAUAAAUCUGUGUAUAUGUGAUUAUUUACUUUCAAUUUUCUUUCUUCGAGUUAUUUAAUAUAGGAAAUUGUUUUUAAGUUGCUAAGUUUUCUUUCCUAAACAUUUUUGCUAUUAAUUCCCAGUUUUAUUAUGUUUUCAGAGAAUGUUGCUUACAAAACAAGGCAUAAAUUUAGGAACUUAUUGAAGAUUUCUUUGUAGCUCAGUAUCAACUUUGUAAAUGUUUCACGGGCAACAUGAAAGGAAGGUGUAUUUGGUGACUGACAG
ensembl:lncRNA